rnacentral:misc_RNA from 1 species
AAAGUCGUAACAAGGUUUCCGUAGGUGAACCUGCGGAAGGAUCAUUAAAAGAUAUGGCAUAUUCCAUGUGGAUAUACCCAAUCAACCCAUUCUGAGUACCUUACCUGUUGCUUUCACACAGCGUCUGCGCUCUUUUGUGUGGACAUCCAAACCGGCAUUAGCUUGUUGGCCUUGGACAUGUGUGAAAGGUAUACAUCAAACUCUUGCAUUACCAUGUAUUCUGUCUGAUUAUGUUUAAUACAAAAAAUAUUAAAACUUUCAACAACGGAUCUCUUGGUUCUC